rnacentral:rRNA from 1 species
UACGGAGGGGGCGAGCGUUAUUCGGAAUUAUUGGGCGUAAAGGGCGCGUAGGCGGCUAGACAAGUCAAAGGUGAAAUCCCUCGGCUCAACUGAGGAACUGCCUUUGAAACUGCAUAGCUUGAGUCCGGGAGGGGGUAGCGGAAUUCCCAGUGUAGCGGUGAAAUGCGUAGAUAUUGGGAGGAACACCAGUGGCGAAGGCGGCUACCUGGACCGGAACUGACGCUGAUGCGCGAAAGCUAGGGGAGCAAACGGG